rnacentral:misc_RNA from 1 species
GCCCGCAACAAUGCAUAUGAAAGAUAUGCUUUUACAGAGUCAAUAAAUUGAAAGUUCUUUGUAAACGAAUGGCUAACUCCUUCCAAUAAUCCCUGCAGAAGCUCUAGAGACAAAAUCCUUGUCUUGGUUGUAACUUCAUCAGUAUCUUCCUUCAUACCCAUCUUACAAAGGGUGCGGAAUACUAAUAAAGCAUCUCGUUGUCCAAUGCUCAUGCUCUCCAAGUCAAUCCCCCUUGUUAUUUUUUUACCAUCUUCAAUUUGAACGGCUUUGUCAAGAACAGCCUCCAAAACCUUGAUAUCAGCUCCACCAGCAAGAUUCUGGAGUUCCUCAACAGAGGCAAGUGAUGUCUCUUUCAUCUGGUC